GCCCGGGUGGUGAAACUGGCAGACACAGGGGACUUAAAAUCCCCCACCCGAAAGGGUAUGCGGGUUCGAGCCCCGCCCCGGGCA
rnacentral:tRNA from 1 species